rnacentral:rRNA from 1 species
UUAAAAUUUUUUUAGAAUUUUAUUUUUUAGUUAAAAAGCUAAAAUAAAUUCAAAAGACGAGAAGACCCUAUAAAUCUUAAUUAUUUAAUAAUUUUAAUUUGUUUUGAUUAUUUUUAUUAUUAUUGUUUAAAUAAUUUUAUUGGGGUGAUAUUAAAAUUUAUAAAACUUUUAAUUAGUAAAUUCAUUAAUUUAUGAAUGAUUGAUCCAUUUUUAGUGAUUAGAAAAUUAAGUUACUUUAGGGAUAACAGCGUAAUUUUUUUGGAGAGUUCUUAUCGAUAAAAAAGUUUGCGACCUCGAUGUUGGAUUAAGAUUCAUAUUUAAAUGCAGAAGUUUAAAUAUUAAGUCUGUUCGACUUUUAUUUCUUACAUGAUCUGAGUUCAAACCGGUGUAAGCCAGGUUGGUUUCUAUCUUUGAUUUAUAAAAUAUUUUAGUACGAAAGGAAUAAAUAUUUGUUAUUAAGUAAUUUUUUUUGUGAAU